rnacentral:misc_RNA from 1 species
AAGUCGUAACAAGGUAACCGUAGGUGAACCUGCGGUUGGAUCAUUACUAAAUGAAUGUUGAAUCAGGAAUCCUUCAAUUCUUGAGUUGUCAAGGACUGAUUCGGCAACAACCCUAUGUGCAACUAAAUUGUAUUUUGGGCAAGUCUCUUGAUUUGCCCAGCUUAAUUAAAAACCCCAUUUGAACAUUGUCUUAUAAUUUUUAAUAUAAUAAUUGAAAACAACUUUUGACAACGGAUCUCUUGGCUCUC